AGCGAACGCUGGCGGCAGGCUUAACACAUGCAAGUCGAGCGGGCCCUUCGGGGUCAGCGGCAGACGGGUGAGUAACACGUGGGAACGUACCCUUUGGUUCGGAAUAACGCUGGGAAACUAGCGCUAAUACCGGAUACGCCCUUUUGGGGAAAGGCUUGCUGCCGAAGGAUCGGCCCGCGUCUGAUUAGCUAGUUGGUGGGGUAAUGGCCUACCAAGGCGACGAUCAGUAGCUGGUCUGAGAGGAUGAUCAGCCACACUGGGACUGAGACACGGCCCAGACUCCUACGGGAGGCAGCAGUGGGGAAUAUUGGACAAAGGGCGCAAGCCUGAUCCAGCCAUGCCGCGUGAGUGAUGAAGGCCUUAGGGUUGUAAAGCUCUUUUGUCCGGGACGAUAAUGACGGUACCGGAAGAAUAAGCCCCGGCUAACUUCGUG
rnacentral:rRNA from 1 species